rnacentral:rRNA from 1 species
UGGGGAAUAUUGCACAAUGGGGGAAACCCUGAUGCAGCAACGCCGCGUGAGUGAAGAAGUAUUUCGGUAUGUAAAGCUCUAUCAGCAGGGAAGAAAAUGACGGUACCUGACUAAGAAGCCCCGGCUAACUACGUGCCAGCAGCCGCGGUAAUACGUAGGGGGCAAGCGUUAUCCGGAUUUACUGGGUGUAAAGGGAGCGCAGGCGGUCUGGCAAGUCUGAUGUGAAAUCCCGGGGCUCAACCCUGGAACUGCAUUGGAAACUGUCAGACUAGAGUGCCGGAGAGGUAAGUGGAAUUCCUAGUGUAGCGGUGAAAUGCGUAGAUAUUAGGAGGAACACCAGUGGCGAAGGCGGCUUACUGGACGGUAACUGACGCUGAGGCUCGAAAGCGUGGGGAGCAAACA